AAUUUUCGACAAUGGGCGCAAGCCUGCUCGAGCCAUGCCGCGUCUGUGAAGAAGGCCUUCGGGUUGUAAAGCUCUUUCGGACGGAAGGAAAACGCGCAGGCCAACACCCCGCCCAGCUGACGGUACCUCCCUAAGAAGCACCCGCUAAUCACGUGCCAGGAGCCGCGGUAAUACGUAGGGUGCGAGCGUUAAUCGGAAUUACUGGGCGUAAAGCGAGCGCAGGCGGUUGAUGAAGACAGGCGUGAAAUCCCCGGGCUUAACCUGGGAACUGCGCUUGUGACUGGUCAGCUAGAGUACGGCAGAGGGGGGUGGAAUUCCACGUGUAGCAGUGAAAUGCGUAGAGAUGUGGAGGAACACCGAUGGCGAAGGCAGCCCCCUGGGCCGAUACUGACGCUCAUGCACGAAAGCGUGGGUAGCAAACAGG
rnacentral:rRNA from 1 species